AUGCUCCUCUCAGCUGCUUUCAAGUCUGUCCCAGCCAAAAUCAGAUGGUGCACCUUCUCAAAGCAAUGUCAAGAGAUUAAGGAAAACUGGCAAUCAAUCACCAUCCUUUUUCAGAGGAAAAGAACACCCAAGAGUAGAAAGGAAAGUUCUGGGAGAAGUGAUUUUCAUCCAUCUACUUUGGAAUUUAGUCGAUUUCUGGAAGGAGUUGAACAGAGGAAGCAAGCAGAAGAUGAAAAGUUUAAAAACAGGAGAAUCUGCUUUGUGUGCAUUAAAUACCUCCGCAGGCCUUAUUGUUUUAGAAAGUUUUGAUGAAUUCGAAGAGCAGAAAAACAAAUUUAUUCUGGAAUAAAUAAGACAACUCUCCUAUUGAGAUCAUAAAACAAGAAAGAUUCAUUUGCUGCCUGGGACCUGCAUUUCUUAAGGAUCUAAGGACAGAUGACCAUCUUCAUUUCUGCAUCACAUUCCAAUGAGGAAGGUAAGUUGCUCACCUGAAGUCAUAAUAACUAUUAUAGGUAUAAGCCACUUAAAGCAAAUAUAAAUUAAAAGAAUUAUGUUUAACAUCCAUAAGAAUUCUAAUUUCAUACACACACACAAUGUGUAGUCAGUCAUGAGAGCUUAUAUAGUAUAAAUCCUGCUAAAACUCUGCUAGUUUUGUUCUCCUUAAGAUGGAUAAUGUGUUAGCAAUAUAAUAGAGGGAUUUUGUGCCACGUAAACCAAGAAUUCAGAAUGCAAACCAUUGGACCCACAGGAUAGGUUUGUUUUAUCUGAGCUUGGAAGAAAAGGACCUAUGAAAACAAACCAAUUUGCUUCCAAUCCAAAUUAUCAACUGGAAAGAUUCUUCAACAGAAUACCAGAAACAGAUGUGAAUGCCUUUUCUCCAUGACUGCAAGCCAGUAAAUGAUUUCUUGCCAUUUUAUCCCUUUAUGAUAAAACCCCAAGUGCCCAUCCACACCAGGAGAGAGGAAAACCCCAGAAGAAAUAUGAUACCAUCUGGCUCAACUUUUUUUUUCAUCUUCCCUUUAGAUACUGGAUGGGUUACCAGGUCUCUCAACUGUGGACUGUACACUGACAACGUUUUUAAGAUAUUGUCUCAUUAGAGUAUAUUUUCUUCAGUCUGCAAAAGGAGCUUGCUUUCUGAGUUUUGAAGAUUGGAUACAUUAAGCAUCCUUCCACUUUUAAAAAGGAGUGGGCUCAUGUAGUCAUGAUGGGGUGUACAAAAAUGACUGAAUUUUCUUUUGAGGAUGAUUUGUUAUUUUGAAGUCUGCAUUUUCCAGGAAAAGCAAAUAUGCUAGCUUUUGAAUCUUUGGAAGCAUGAGUUCAAAUUUGGCCCAUAGUAAGUAACAAGCAACAAUACUUGGCUCGGUCUCAAACUAUUCUCUGAGUUUCUACAUCAUCAUACCCCACACACAACUGAAAACCAGUAACACAACUGGAAACAUCUGCUGGACAGAAAUCCUAGUUUUGGGAAAAGAGGACAGCCAAAAACUCUCAGAACUUCAUUAUUAGAAAACCAAAAGGCACUGCUGAUAUUCAAAAGCAAAGUCAGGAAUCUAUUUGAGCAUCACAUAGAUUAUAAGAAGCUGACCAAGGAGUUCUAGAAUUCUUUAGAGAAAUCUGGAUUUUUUUUUUUAACUGCACUGUGUACUUAUAUUUACAACUAUUUUGCUCACUUGGGUGGGCCUCCCUCUGAAGCUAAAUUUGUGGAGCCAUAUCUCCUCAAAAAGCACCUAGGUUGUAGGUUUCAAAUUGGUACAAAACGUCCUGGGUCUUUAUGAAUUUGAACACAACCACAGAUGUUCUGGAACAUGGAGAAGGGCUGUGCUUUAAAACACCAGAGGAUAGAAUGCUCACAGUUUAAAUCUACAUGGAAUCAUUUUCAGCUACUUUCUUGUCUUGUAUUUAGAAACCCAUUUCCCCCCCUCAUGCUCAUUCUUUAGAAAGGGUGGCAGAGGAGGGGAUUUAAAAUCUCUCAGUAACAGAUGGAAGACAUUUAAUUUAAUAUUAAACCUAAAAUCCUUUCCUAAGAGUGUUUUUUAAAGUCCUUAGGUAUGGAGUUCAUCAUCUUACAGCACUGUAACUCUCAGCUAAGCUGCUCAUAAUCAUCCCAUUUUACAGAUUAAUAUUCUACUUUGGAUUGUUUUGAAAUCCUCUAACAGAUACAUAUUCUAGUGUAUGUGAUUGAGAGCAUUUCAAAGAAAGAAAUGGUCGUCUUUUAAGAAAUUCUUGAGAAAUAAGAUUAUAUCUAAAUGCAGAAGAGCGCGUGUACGUGGAUGCCUGUAUAGGACCAAAGGUGAAAUAGAAAAGAACUUGUCAGUUUCACACAAAGGAAUAUAUCCAAACCAAACCAAACCAAACAACCCAGCUUUAAUAAGCUAUAAAAGGAAUCAGCCAUUGUACUUGAGAGGGAAACUACAGAGGUGAGAGAGAUCAAAGGGAAGAAUGGCAGGCAAGGUGGCCCCCCUGGUACCCACAGUCACAUGUCCUCCUGCUUAAGCUGACUGCACAGUCAGAUGGCAGCAUCUUCUUUUCCACAGUCAGAUGGCAGCAUCUUCCAAGGAUCCGAUUGGAAGCACAAAGCAAAGUCACACUCUAUCAUCAUCUCUCCCCCAGUGUGGACAAGUAGAGAGAAACACAGAUACAGAGUAAUUGCAGCCAUUUAGUUCGUCAAAAGCCUCCCACCAAAGUCCCACUGCUCCGUGGAAAGCCCAAGGACAAGGACUGAGCCAGGCCCCAAACGGACUUGUGCAGAACCUGAGACAGCAAGGGUAGGGACAAAGCAGGGCAGUGAUCCCAAACUGAUACUGAACAGCAGACACAUGGUUCCUAGCAUCCUGGCAAAAUCUAAUCAUAAAAAUCCAAGGAAUUUCAGAGCCAAAGGAAUAGAAAUUCCCUAGUCUUGUCUUCUAAGUCUUUUCUCAAGGAGGCGCACUGGAGGAAAGGGACAGAGCCAGCUCCAGAAUCUAGUCCCCAACUCUCUGCUCCCUGUGUGAGUAACAGACACUAAAUGGGUCAGGCCAGUGGCAGUCCUGGCAAAGCCUCUGGCUAGCACAAGAUUGGCCCUCCAUGGCUCUGUGCCUUGAAGUUUCAAGUAAAUGUGGGGCCCACAGCCCGACACUCUACACAUCUCAUCUGCUUAUUUCACUCUCCUUUGUGCAGUACUAGAUUGUGCCAAGGUUGUUUUUGGUUUUUUGUUUUUUGCUUUUUUUUUUAGGGCAUAUGAAGGUUCCCAGACUAAGAGGGUCAAAUCAGAGCUAUGGUGGCUGGUGUACGCCACAGCCACAGCAACGCCAGAACCAAGCCUUGUCUGCUACCUACACACAGUUCACAGCAAUGCCGGAUCCUUAAACUGCUGAGCGAGGCCAGGGAUCAAACCCUCAUCCUCAUGGAUACUAGUUGGGUUCGUUAACUGCUGAGCCAUGAUGGGAACUGCUGCUGGUUUUCCAUAGCUUUUGGAAGCUGAUAAAAAAAUUAUAGUUUAAGAAAGAAAAAACAUGCAUAAAGAAUGCUGAGCAAUGGAAAAACCAUUUCACAUACACACACAAAAAUGGUUUCUCAAAAAAUUAACUUGCUGGUUGUGUGUUUGCUAAAUAAUCUUUAAAUAGUGUAGGUUGGGCUUGAGGCAGCCUCAGAUGAUUACACAGUGAUGGCAGAAUGCAACAUCAUUUUCCAAGUGCUCCAUGAGAAUCCCCAUCUAUUCCAUGUGGACGGUCAGGGCAAACGACUCUGGGGUCACUGUGUGCCCCCAAGGUGCAAGGAAAGUCAAAAGAAGCUUAAAUUAUCUGUCUCCUUAAUUGGAGACAUCCAAGAAUGAUGAGUGUAGAAGGAUCCUAAAAUUCUUCCGUGACGUUUUCACUAGAAUGAGGCAAAGGGAGAAAAUGUAAUGGGUUUUUGCAAAAGGCGAACAUUUUCCUGAUUUCAGACAUCUUAUUCCCAGGCAACAAAGUGUGAUUUCAUUUAGGAAACAUGGAUAGUAGGCUUAUUUUUAAUGUUAUACUCAGUAAAAUACAAUAUUAACCUUUCCAUUUAAUAGUAAUACAGCUUCUCUGAUUUGGCUUAUCCAUAAGGGCAAUGAUAAUAAUAUUCCUAUCCUUUUCAGAGGUUUUGUGAGGAUCUAUUAAAAUCAUGAUGAUAAGAGUAAUUUAAAUAAAUUUAUGUAUUGAAGUAUUUAAUAUAUAGUUGUCAAUCAUCAUCAUUAUUAUGGCAACCAAUUAACUGUGUUACUCUAAGCAAGGGGAAGCAAUGGAAACUUUCUGAUUGACACAAUGAAUAGAGAUUAAUUCUAUGGCAUAGAAUAGAUUUAUCAGCAUGGGUGGGUAAAUGCUGUUGGGCCUUUUUGUUCAAGUUCAUCCUGAAAAAGUUUCAUAAAGCCUAUGUAACCUGGGAAUGUUCUGCAUUUGCCUCUAGAGGUAGGAGGCGGUGUGCUUUUCCACUGAGAGAAACUCAAGUGCAAACACAGAUAGUAAUAAGCAAAUUUAUGGUGAGGGUUCAUGAAGCACUGGUCCAGCUGAAGGGGGAAGUUUAAUUUCAGUAGAGAGACGAGAGAUCAUUUUUAGUACAUUUAUGGAAGCCAACUGAUGAGGAUCAAUGAAAGCCAAACUCAGACAUUGGUACCUGCCCUGGAAAACAAUAAGGAGUCAGCAACCAUCCUCAGGUUGGAGGGAAAGUAGUGGCAUGUAAAAAGUCACGCCAAGGGACAUAGUUCGUGGAGUCUCCUAAAACAUGAAUGUAAAUGAAGAGCCUGUGGAGAGUUCAGUCUCUUUAGGAGAUAGGAUGGGAAAUGUACACAGCAAAAAUGUCUACUAAAGAUCUACGAAUUAACUGACCCAGGAAUACAAAGGGAGGAGAGAAUUCAAAAAGACCCUAAGAAUUUUUUUUAAAGGUCCCUAGAACAUCCACAGCUUUUGCAAGAUACAAAUUCUAUGCCCCGGUCCUCAUACACAAACUUAACCAACAAACUCUGGAUAUGUGACUUCUUUAGUGUAUUUUUCCAAUAAAUAUAUUCUCCAAAAGACCAUUUAUUUAUUCAGAUAAAUGAAUAUAUAAAUACCACUAGUAUCUUUCUCACUAGAAGAGUGUUUAGAAAAGACACAAUGAAAAACCAAAUUAUUAGUUUCCUGUAUUUUCAUCUCAUUUAAUCCUGUAACUUUCAAGUUAUGAGAAAUAGCAGGUACACUAGUAAAAGCACUAAGUUGGAAGGCAGAAUACUUAAGUUCCUGUCGUAGUUCUGCCACUAAUUAGCUGCAAGGGAAAAUCACUUAAUCUUUCCAUGUUGAUUUCCUCCUUUUCAAAAUUAUGAAGUUAAGCAAGUUAAUCUGUAAGGUUUAUCUUUAAAUUAUGGGGUUAAACAAGUUAACCUCUAAGAUUUUUUUUCUAGCUUUCACAUUCCCUAAUUGUGAUUCCUUAGUCCUGUGACAUUGGAGAAUGCCCAGUUACCCGGUCUAGGCAGUCAUAGAUAAAAGUACUUUGGGAAAAAAGAAGUGAAGCUGUGGCUAAAACUUUUAUAAAACUAUAUUUAUACAUUGGUUUCAAGACUAUUCAGAUGAUGAAACCCAUGGAAUUGUCUAUUCUCAAUGAAAUAAUGUACUAAAUCUUAUUUGAAUCUAUGGAGUGAAAUGCUAAAGGAAAGGAAGAAUAUUUAAAAUAAGAAUGAAACAAUGCCAUUUGCAGUAACUUGGAUGGACCUAGAGAUUAUCACACAAAGUGAAGACAGAGAAAGACAAAUAUUAUAUGAUGUCACUUAUGUGAAAUCUAAAGAAAUGAUAGGAAUGCAUUUAUUUACAAAAUAGAAAUAGACUCCCGGACAUACAAAACCAAUUUAUGGUUACAAAAGGAGAAAGGGGGUGUGGGGGAAUAAAUUAGGAAUAUGGGAUUAACAUAUACACACUACUAUACAUAAAAUAGCCAGAGUUUCCAUCAUGGCUCAGCAGUAAAGAACCUGACUAGUAUCCAUGAGGACACAGGUUUGAUCCUUGACCUCACUCAAUUGGUUAAGGAGCCGGCAUUGCCAUGAGCUGUGGUGUAGGUCGCAGAUGCGGCUUGGAUCCUGCAUUGCUGUUGCUGUGGCUGUGGUGUAGGCUGACAACUGCUGUUCUGAUUCGAUCCCUAGCCUGGGAACUUCCAUAUGCUGAGAGUGCAGUUCUAAAAAGACAAAAAUAAAAUAAAAUAAAAUGAAACAAAACGAAAUAAAAUAAAAUAGGUAACCAACAAGGACCUACUAAAUAGCAGCACAACUAUCAUGUAAUAACCCAUAGUAGAAAAGAAUCUGAAAAAUAGUAGAUAUAUGUGUAUAACUGAGUCACUUUGCUUUACACCUGAAACAUUGGAAAAUAAAAAUUUUCAAAA
rnacentral:lncRNA from 9 species